AACGAACGCUGGCGGCAUGCCUAACACAUGCAAGUCGAACGAGACCUCCGGGUCUAGUGGCGCACGGGUGCGUAACGCGUGGGAACCUGCCCUUAGGUUCGGAAUACCUCCCCGAAAGGGGUGCUAAUACCGGAUAAUGUCUUCGGACCAAAGAUUUAUCGCCUUUGGAUGGGCCCGCGUUGGAUUAGCUAGUUGGUAGGGUAAAAGCCUACCAAGGCGACGAUCCAUAGCUGGUCUGAGAGGAUGAUCAGCCACACUGGGACUGAGACACGGCCCAGACUCCUACGGGAGGGAGCAGAGGGGAAUAUUGGACAAUGGGCGAAAGCCUGAUCCAGCAAUGCCGCGUGAGUGAUGAAGGCCUUAGGGUUGUAAAGCUCUUUUACCCGGGAUGAUAAUGACAGUACCGGGAGAAUAAGCACCGGCUAACUCCGUG
rnacentral:rRNA from 1 species